CUGAAAAUGAGAGCUUAAUACUGUUGCUAUCUGGGAACCUUUAAAAGCAAAUGGGCAUCAUGAGUGUUCCUUCCUCUUUGAAGUAGGGCCAACUCUGAGUGUUUGUCCCCCUAACCUGGUGAUGAAUAAGGUGGCCUGGAGAGAGGCACCUACACACCUUCUCAGCCUCCCCCACUGCCAGUGUCUGUGACUGAGCUGCAAUGCCAGAGGAUGCCUGUCCCAGAUACCAGAAUGACUGGAGCAUUCUGCUGAAUGCCAAAGGUGGGCAUUGGUCACUACCCAGGAUGAUCCAGCUGGCUGGAUGUCCUCCAGGUUUGUGGCAACCCUGCAUAGAACAAGUCUAUCAGAGCCAUAUUGCAACAGCUCAGAUGAUUAUCAGCAUUUUUUGACAACAAAAAAUUUUAAAUUAAGGCCUUUAUGCUUGCAAAGCAGGUGCUCCCUGCACAUGCAUGUUUAUUGCAG